UACGGAAGGCAGCAGUGGGGAAUAUUGCACAAUGGGCGCAAGCCUGAUGCAGCCAUGCCGCGUGUAUGAAGAAGGCCUUCGGGUUGUAAAGUACUUUCAGUCGUGAGGAAGGUGUUAAGGUUAAUAACCUUAGCAAUUGACGUUAGCGACAGAAGAAGCACCGGCUAACUCCGUGCCAGCAGCCGCGGUAAUACGGAGGGUGCGAGCGUUAAUCGGAAUUACUGGGCGUAAAGGGCACGCAGGCGGUUAAUUAAGUUGGAUGUGAAAUCCCCGGGCUUAACCUGGGAAUGGCAUUCAAGACUGGUUAGCUAGAGUCUUGUAGAGGGGGUAGAAUUCCAUGUGUAGCGGUGAAAUGCGUAGAGAUGUGGAGGAAAUACCGGUGGCGAAGGCGGCCCCUGGACAAAGACUGACGCUCAUGUGCGAAAGCGUGGGGAGCAAAACAGGGAUUAGAUACC
rnacentral:rRNA from 1 species